GAUGAACGCUGGCGGCGUGCCUAAUACAUGCAAGUCGAGCGAACGGACGAGAAGCUUGCUUCUCUGAUGUUAGCGGCGGACGGGUGAGUAACACGUGGAUAACCUACCUAUAAGACUGGGAUAACUUCGGGAAACCGUAGCUAAUACCGGAUAAUAUUUUGAACCGCAUGGUUCAAAAGUGAAAGACGGUCCUGCUGUCACUUAUAGAUGGAUCCGCGCUGCAUUAGCUAGUUGGUAAGGUAACGGCUUACCAAGGCAACGAUGCAUAGCCGACCUGAGAGGGUGAUCGGCCACACUGGAACUGAGACGCGGUCCAGACUCCUACGGGAGGCAGCAGUAGGGAAUCUUCCGCAAUGGGCGAAAGCCUGACGGAGCAACGCCGCGUGAGUGAUGAAGGUCUUCGGAUCGUAAAACUCUGUUAUUAGGGAAGAACAUAUGUGUAAGUAACUGUGCACAUCUUGACGGUACCUAAUCAGAAAGCCACGGCUAACUACGUG
rnacentral:rRNA from 1 species